rnacentral:tRNA from 1 species
CUGAACAGGCGGGCCUCGNUCCCAC